UUGUGUUCCUGUGGUGAGAAUGAAAACCAGAGCUCCUGGGGGAAACUGGGGAUGGGGUCAGCAAGGUGCUUGCGAUGCUUCUGGUGUUGCAGACGUCUAUAAGUUACGGUAACCGGUUACCAUCAGCUAGUUAAUAA